CGACAAUAAUUGCAUGCAAAAAAUCUCGACAUACAGUAAUUCAUUACAGCAGCAUCUACUAAUAACAUAAUCAAAAAUAAAAUUCAAACAAAAACAAAAGAAACAAGAAUUUAUUGCCAAAGAAGGCUUAGAAUUUAUUGAAAUCGGAAAAUUUUCCAUUAAAAUUUGAAUAGAUUGUUGAACAUAUGACGAGUUCCUAUGCCAAUAACUGAAGGAGCACUGCAAGUAAAGAGUAUACUAAUGAGUCUGUCGUCGAAUUCAAACGAAGGUGGAAUCGGAGAAGGAAAUAAUAACUUUGUCGAAGGUGGGUGGAGGUUUUGGUAGAUCGAACAUCAAAUUUUGUUGAGUCUCAACUGAGAUGGGGUAUCUGUUGGAAGAGUCAGAUGGCAGGUUGUCAUAGAAAAAAUUGGGGAUUGCGACUACAGUAGCGUGCCGAUGGAGGGACGACUAAUAGGUGACAAUCAUCAUACUGAUCGGUUUGGAGAGAGUGUCAAUUGACAAGGGCAUCGUCAAAUUUCAUUCUUCUCUAGUUCCAUCCCACUUUCUGCCUUGGAAAUAGACAGAGAA
rnacentral:lncRNA from 1 species